GCAUUUUGGUGGCCAAGGAGGCGCGGAAAGUGUUUUGUCAGUCCCUCCCCGGGAUUUCUUUGCAUGCUGUCUUAGGGCUGGAGAUUCAAACGCUCAGAAUGCAGAACCGACACGCCACCCGUGUCCAUAAAACACAGGAGGAAUUGGCAGGAAACAUUGGAAAUUGUGAUUGCACGACCACAGAUCACCGCAGCAUCAUAAUCGAGCACCCAGAUCAUGAUCACAUGACCACAUGGAUAUUGGAUUGGCCACAACUUUCUUGACUACACUAUUGUUCUUCUAAGAAAUCACAGCCAUUUCAGAAGAUAAAACAAAAACAAGCUUACGGAAAAGAUUAGGCUGCUUCUUUAUUGUUAAUGUGAAUCCACUCCCUGCAUCCUG